UUCACAGAUUUUAAAAUUGAGGUUGCCAUUGAUGUCAGCACUCUGCUAAAUAAUGACUUAAUAUGACUCCUACUUACUUGUAGGGAAGUGAGAGACUUCAUGGCAAUAAGGAUUUUCUAGACAUGGUUGAAUGUGAAGUUCCUGACUGUAUUGAGAAAGAAACCAUCGUAUAGAGAAGAAUGAAGCAUCACUUCCAUUUUUCAGUUGUUUUAAAUGGGGUAAUUGAAAGAAACAAAGCUUGGAUACAUUUUGCAUUCACUAUCAUUUCAAACAAUUUCUUAGAGUAUUUUGCACUGGACAAUCUAUCGUGUGGUUUAAUUACACUUGGUGUGGAAAUUAGUAAGUUAAAACUGCCAAUUAUUAAUUUAAAAGGGGCUAUUUCAAGAGCACAGUUAUUUUUUCCAAAUAAUUUCAAAAAGUUUUGCAUAACAUUUUAAAUAUGUGCAGAUACUGCAACAAUGCUGAAGGAGUCCUUUUAAUAUGUUGCUAUCUUUUACUUGCAGCCAAGAGGAGUUUUCCUGAGUAAUGCUAAAGGGUUUUUCAUUAUACCACUGGAGAGCUCUCCGAAAGUUAGUGGCGAGUUAAUAUUAAAAUACCAAUGGGAUACUCUCACUUGACUAAAUGUGUAAGAUAUGUUCCCUGAUUAAUUAAAGGGAAAUUGCUAAGCAGUUUGGAUCCAAAAAUUAAUUGUUGAUAAAAUUGUUUUAAAAACAAUACUAAAAAUGGUUUCAGAAAGCUAUUUUAAAAUGGCAGUAAGAUAGUAGCAGGAAGUAAAAUUGACCAGACAGAACAUGAAACUUUAAUCUUUUUGCAUUGUUAUGAUCUUUUUGCAUUGUCCAAAUUGAAAUUUAAACUACAAAUUAUGUGUAAAGUAUAUUUAAUGUUAGCAUGUUCAGUUUUAAUAAUCUAACAUUAUUACUGAGAGAAAAAGGUUUUGUUUUUUUAAAGAAAAAGUAUUCGUAACUGGACAGUGUCAUUCAGAUAACUAUUUUUUUUUGUUAAAAUGCCUAUAUAGUACGUAUGUAUUUUUCAAGGAGGCAAAAGCCAUACCAAAGCAGAUUUUCUAGUUUCUGUUUGAUGCUAAAUGUAUUUUACCAAAAGAUUAGUUGCUCAGCUACAAAUAUAGAGGCCUUUUAUUUGUAAUUUGUCAGUCAGCCAGCACUGAAUUUUUGCCACUGGACUGGGUAGUCGUGCUAUCAUCAAUUAACAGCCCUAGGAGAAAAAAUUAAGUAUUGGGUUUGAUUAAUUAUUUUGAAAAUGUUGUUUGGGAUCAGAAAGUGGAGGAGAAGGGACAGAAAUCUACUAGGAAGAAGGGCAGCUUAAAACAAAUACUAACCUGUAAGGGUAACCUGAAGGCUUAAAUUAUCACUUCAGUGAUAGAACUACUUAAUGCUUAAUUUCCAGUAGUGUUAAUGGAAACAAAUUCAUCAUCUUCCCUCAGAAUGAAUGGCAAAAUGAGUACUCAACUAUACUAAUGUGAUUCAAUACAAACAAGCUUUAAACCUUUAAAUGAAAUUCAAAGUGCUUUUGCAUUGUGUUUUGGAAAAUGAAAGGACAAAGACUGUACAAGCAUAGCUACUAUACCUCUUGUUCACAAAAUUCUCUCUGCUGCAGUACUGCCUCUGUGAAAAUCUCCAUGAACAUCUGUAGUUAACACCACAGAAACUCAGCAUCUGCAGUUAAUAUUGCAGAGAUUACAUUUAGCAACCAGAUGAUACGAUUCCUGACAUUUAAAACUGAAGUGUGGGUUGUCUUUUUUUUGGUCAGGGGAAAGGGGGUUGACUUUGGGAAGGUCUAAAAAUGCACAAGAAGCCGCACAACUGUUUUUAUUCCUAUAAUUUAAAAACAAGCAAAUCACCAGUCCGCUGUUCUGAGUCUGCUUAUAUCAUGCCAGAAAAUUUCUUUCAGAUGAUAUGCCAGAAUGCUACUGCUUGGAUUUUCAGCUUCUUCUGAAGUUUACAUAUAUUCAGCAUAUGUUGUCUGACCUGGAGUUUACACUGUGAAGUUUACAUGGUGCUGGAAUGGAUUUCACCUUAGAUGCCCUCUGUAUCUGACUGUAAGCAGUAGCUUUCUGGUUCGUCUCUGGCCUACAACAUAUAUAAUGAAAAAUGUCUUUAAAAAAUGCAAGAGGAAUAUUGUUAAUUGAAGGGAAGGAGUGGAAUUUUAACACUAAUGGAGGAAAACCUUUACUUUACAGACCAAAAGCAGAAUUUCUGUUAUACAGAUAUUGAUUCUGGGCUGAAAGAAUUAGUUGAUAAACUAAGGGAUACCACAAUCUGCUGCUGAAGGCGUUUCUUUAAAAGGCUGUCUCAUGGUCUAAAUGGUUGAGAAAACUAUUAUAAGGUAAGUGGUUCUGGUAUGCAUGCCUUGAAUGAGAAGCUACAUGCUACAGUAUAUAGUAUAACAGACAUCUCUGUCUCUGGUUGGCAUAUACUUAUUAGUACUCAUAUACUCAAGCUUUAGUUAGCAGAGAUGAUAGUUACAUUCAUCUUCAGUGGCAGAGAAGAUGCAAAUUACAUCCCUCCCUUAAGUUGUACCUCAGAAGAGUAGAAACAUCUUCCCCAGAGUGUCUGCCAGGGAAGGGAGCCUUGCCCCUGGAGUCUGCAUGAUCUAAGUGCCCUGAGAAGGCACUAUCUGCCAUUUAGUGCUGGCAGAGCAGGACAGGUAGACACUUCAAGUUAAUUACUAUAAGGAUCCAUCAUACUUAAUUAUUAUGAGGACACAUCUACAUUACACCAUUUCUGAAUAGAAUCCAUUACCUAGUUCUAAGAGACUUUUUCCCCAAAAGGAAAGCUUGUCAGUAGCCAGUUAGUAGUCCUCCAAAGUGAUACAAGUGUUUUAAAAUGUGGCUUUUCAUAUAUCCUUUAUCCUGGACCCCCAUUCUAUGCUUUUUUUUUUGUCAAGAGUUAAACUGUACAAUCUGCAGAAUGGCAGGGUUGCCUUUUUCUGGGUGGAGUGUUGAAGAGGAAUGGGUGCUAAAGCUGGUGGAUGAGUACCGUUGGCUAGGGAUGUGAGAGUUUGGGUGUGUUAAGCCCUUUUCCUCUAGGCUUUCUAUCUUUCACUCAUUUAUUCAGGGAAGCUUUUCUUAAAUAUAGCAAGGAGUUGGCUGAUUACUGAGCUGUGGGGACUGCAGCAUAAAGGCAACCAGCUCCUCACCACCUUCAACAGAUUUCCCUAGAGUCCAGCACUGUAUAGGCAGGGCAAAACAGGAGGAGGGAGUAGAAUUUCUCUCAGCCCUUUAGCUCACUUCCUGGUUCUGGCAAAAAAAAAAAGCCAAAAUCCAGGGACUGCUAAGAUUUGCCAUCCAUGGUGACUUUUCAAGAGCUUUGACUCAUAAAAAGGGCAGAAUACAAACCAAAUUUAGUAGUAAAUCUCUUUUUUUAAAUAAAAGCUGACAAAUGCGUUUGUUAUUCUGGUCUGUAUAGAAGAAUAACUUAAUUGAAAUUUAGUUUGUGCCAAAUAGUACUGUCAAUGAGUUUCUGGAUAGAUGCUUGUAAAAUAUAUUAUCCUCUGGAGGUCUCAUAUUUAGGUGAUAAAUACUGUAAUAUUAAAACAGGCAAAUUCUGCAGCUCUUAGUCCAGCAGUUGGGGGGUUUUUUGGCUGUAAGCAACUGGAGUUUUAGGCAAUGAAUUUAUCAUGUGAAAUACGUGCCAGGCUUGAAUGACCAGCUAAAAAGGUGAAUUAGUCUUCUGUUUAUCAGGUUUAAUGAUAAAACAUAUGCAUUAACAAGCCAUGGGCCUGUAAUAAGAUACCUUAGCAAAGACUGAUAAAUUGUGUGUAAAAAAAAAUAUAGUAGAACAGUUGGACUUUUCUUUGCUCCUUGGUACUUGCCAAAAGUAACGUAAUCUGUUUACCUGUAUAAGCCCCUGAUGUCACUAUAGAACUGAAUUGAUUCCUGCUUAGUAAAGUCAAAAGAUAUUUUUAUUCUGUUUUUGAGAGUGGGACUUCUUUCAUUGUCUGAGCACAGGUCUUAUUUCCUCUGUCACUCUGAAGAGGCUCAGAAUUCCUCAGCCCUCUGCUGUGACCACCACAACAGCACCUACCUUCUCAUUGCGAGGGUGGAAAAGCAGAGUUUGCUGAAGGGAUCUUUAUUGCCAUCCCAAUAUUCACCUGAGUGUGUGGGAGCUCCCACAGAAUAAGUAUAGAAAAAAAGCAUGUCAUCAGUCAGAGGCCCCCACUCAAAGUGGUCCCAGAGUGGAAAUCUUGAAGUUACCCCCAAACCUAGUUCUCCUACAAAGCAAGACUUUGCAAAGACUCAAUGCCAUAGAAUGACGUGGCAAGAUCUAUGCAUGUUCUGGUCAUCCAUUAUCCGAUAUUCCACUCAUUAUCAAAAGUUUUGAAAUAUAAUAAAUGCAGUCUGUCUCAAUGACUGUACAAGAACUAGUGCAAAGACACAACUACACUAAGAGGCCUGUCGGAUGAAAGGUCCUUGUGAGGAAUGGAUGUAAAUGAGCCUUAUACACUGUGGCAAACUUAACAUAAUUAAAUUGGUGUAUUCAUGCAUCUUUUGAUAUACCAUACAAAAGUAUUCUUUUUUAAUUAACAUCAAUAAGAAAAAUACUUAUCAGUGAAAAUGCAGGUUUAGAAAGACACUAUGAACAUUUUACAUCUUGGAGGUGGUCACUGAUAAGGGAGAGUGGUUUCAUUACGAUUAGAGGUGUAAUCUGGAAGUGUUGCCCAUGAUUUUCCAAAUAAGCUAUAGUGUUUUAUGGUGCUGUACAAAUUAAAGUUGCAGGGAAAAUAUGAAACAUCUGUAUUAAACUCCAUACCUUUAAGUUUACCUGAUGGAUGCAAAAUUAAUUAAAUGCAUUUAAAACAAAUGCAUAUUAAAAUAUCACAUACAGUGAGUCUUACAAAAUUAUUACUUAUGUGCACAGUCCUGAUAUCUACAGACAUGGCACUGUGAAGAAGCUUGGUUCUUAAGAAGCUGUUUUCUAGAUACUUGUAAGAAUGAUGCAGUUUUCUGUCAGUCAGAUCAUAAUGUCCCUUCAACUUUGGUACAUUCAGUGCAAAAUAUUUUUGGGAAUUUCUUACCCUUAUAAAAAUAAAAGGCAUUUUUUCCUUGAGAGUGCAUAAAGAAUAAACACCAGCACAAUGUCUGUUUUAAGCAUGGAAAGUGAAAGGAACAGAAAUAGUUUGCUAGUUUCCUAUUUACACUCUAAGUAACUUAAUAUAAUGAACCUAUAAAAAUAAACAAAAGUCACUGUGUUUUUUUCCUGAUAUGCUGUGAUAAAUUGCCAAGUUUUUUAAAAACAGUUUCCAUGCAGUACGAAGCAUAAAAUCAGUCAUUUUUAAGUUCAUUUUAUGAGAGCUCAUCUUUUGCCAUAUACACGCCACUUGCAUAUACAUUUUCACAAACCUCCUGAUUGCAAGCCAUUGUUGAGAUAUCGCUUGUUGCUGACGUUUCUUCAAAUUUGCAUUUGCCCCAGAAAGCUGACAUCUAUGGUGCGCACCAUGCAGGCAGUCGUACCCUUAGGUAUAGCAAGUAAUGGAUAUUCUAUUAUAGUAUAGGGCAUAAAGUAAUGUACCUCUAGGAAUCUUUUAAAAAAGAAUUCUAUUGUUUGACUUAGCUAAUUUAGUGGUGGGCUGAACGAUUUCACAUUUUGACUUGAACUUUACCUUCAAGGACUUUGGUGAAAUUUAGUUUAAAGUUAUUUUGUCAGUUCUUGCAGUAACCGCAUAAUUGAUCAUAUGUGGAUACAAUUUUUGCUUGAAACAUAAAUGUAAAAAGUUUGGCAGUCAAGAAAAAACUGCUGAUUGCAAGACUGUAGGUUCUCCCUGCACACCAGGCAUGCUCCAGUCUUACUGUUGAAUACUUUGCCACUGUCACAAUGCUUGUAAAUUGCUUCGUAAGCCCAUUCAUAGAAUCUCAUUACUUGAACUGCAUUGUAAAACAAUUUUCCUCU